GUAUAUAUAGUAUAUUAUAAAUAUAUUUAAUUUCCAAUUAAAAGAUUAAUUAAAAUUAUAUAUGCA
rnacentral:tRNA from 1 species